CUUGGAAGCCAUUUCGUGAGGAUCUAUUGAAUGUUAAUAUUAUGAUGUUUUGACAUCUCUUAACCGACGUUAUUACUUCCAUUUAAGGGGAACGUUGGAAGGAGAAGAGGUGCCGUCGUUCAUGUUUCAUCCCACCGCCAACCAAAGCAAAGAGAAUAAAGGAGAAUACAUACUUUGCUUGGCAUCUUUAUCAUUCGCAGCAAUCUGAAGAUAUCAUAUUUGGAAAGAUCCGGAAAAUCCUAACUGGACAGUUGGUACUGAAGUAACUGAAGAUUGAAAGUUGCCAAGAAACUCCAUAAUAGGAAUGUGGACUGCAUGCCCAUCACCAUACCCACACUUUCUGGUGACUACAUUUAGAUACAAAAUACUAUAUAGCCAUCUCCUUAUUAUUUAUCCAUGCACUAUAAUUUGAUUGGCAUCCCUGCCUCUCCUGGUUUCUAUGGUUUCAACUUUUUAAGGGUUGAAAUAUUUGUAGUUAUGUGAUUCUCAAUGGAAUAAAUGUUAUCUACAUAACUUUUAGUGCCAUCGGCAUUGUAUAAUUGAAAAUUUGAGUUUUCUUAUGAUAAACAAUAGUUCUA